UGGUGUGCCGUUCACGAGCUACAGACGAGGUUCUAAGCAAGUGUUUUUCAUCCACGGAUAUUGGUUAACGAUACGGUUACAAUGGGAAGCAUCAAGUUUGAUAUUGAGAAAUUUGAUGGAAGAAUUAAUUUUGGCUUGUGACAAGUUCAAGUCAGGGAUAUAUUGAUUCAAUCAGGUCUACACAAGGCCCUUACGGGAAAACCAGAAGCAGGUUCUAG
rnacentral:lncRNA from 1 species